AUUGAACGCUGGCGGCAUGCCUUACACAUGCAAGUCGAACGGCAGCGGGGGAGAAGCUUGCUUUUCCUGCCGGCGAGUGGCGAACGGGUGAGUAAUACAUCGGAACGUGCCCUGUAGUGGGGGAUAACUAGUCGAAAGAUUAGCUAAUACCGCAUACGACCUGAGGGUGAAAGUGGGGGACCGCAAGGCCUCAUGCUAUAGGAGCGGCCGAUGUCUGAUUAGCUAGUUGGUGGGGUAAAGGCCUACCAAGGCGACGAUCAGUAGCUGGUCUGGGAGGACGAUCAGCCACACUGGGACUGAGACACGGCCCAGACUACUACGUGAGGCAGCAGUGGGGAAUUUUUGACAAUGGGCGAAAGCCUGAUCCAGCAAUGCCUCGUGUGUGAAGAAGGCCUUCGGGUUGUAAAGCACUUUUGUCCGGAAAGAAAUGGCUCUGGUUAAUACCUGGGGUCGAUGACGGUACCGGAAGAAUAAGGACCGGCUAACUUCGUGCCAGCCGCCGCGGUAA
rnacentral:rRNA from 1 species